rnacentral:rRNA from 1 species
AUGUGGAAAGAUCCGGGCCAAAAACGUAAACUUGGGGAGAUUGGUCCUGCUCUAGGGCAGGUAAUGACCUCCUUGCAUCAAUGGAGCAGGGCCAAAACUAGCAAUAUCACUAGGGAGAUUGAGAAGUCUCGUAUGAGGCUAGAGGAGCUAAUGAAUAUGAAUGUGGACCAAGCUGAACUGAGAAAGGAGGAGGAUAAAAUGAAUGAAUUAUUAUACUGGGAAGAGAUGAUGUGGUUGCAAAGGUCUCGUACUGCUUGGUUAAAAGAAGGGGACCAAAAUACAAAAAAAAAUCCAUGCCAAGGCGAUUUGGCGGGCGAGGAAAAACAAUAUUAA